AAAAAAGCAAAGACCAGUGAAAAAUAAUGAGCCGGUCUUUCGUCAACUUCAGGGAAAUUAUUUGCACCGUUUAAUGGGUGAAUCACUGGAGGUUAUGCCAUUGACAGAAGAUUCAAUCCACGGUGCGACAUCA